AGAGUUUGAUCAUGGCUCAGAACGAACGCUGGCGGCAUGCCUAACACAUGCAAGUCGAACGAGACCUUCGGGUCUAGUGGCGCACGGGUGCGUAACGCGUGGGGAUCUGCCCUUUGCUUCGGAAUAACAGUUAGAAAUGACUGCUAAUACCGGAUGAUGACUUCGGUCCAAAGAUUUAUCGGCAAAGGAUGAACCCGCGUAGGAUUAGCUAGUUGGUGGGGUAAAGGCCUACCAAAGCGACGAUCCUUAGCUGGUCUGAGAGGAUGAUCAGCCACACUGGGACUGAGACACGGCCCAGACUCCUACGGGAGGCAGCAGUGGGAAUAUUGGACAAUGGGUGAAAGCCUGAUCCAGCAAUGCCGCGUGAGUGAUGAAGGCCUUAGGGUUGUAAAGCUCUUUUACCCGGGAUGAUAAUGACAGUACCGGGAGAAUAAGCUCCGGCUAACUCCGUG
rnacentral:rRNA from 1 species